CUACGGGCGGCUGCAGUCGAGGAAAUUUUACAAUGCUCGAAAGAGUGAUAGAAUAAACCAGAGUGUUCCAUCUAAUGGAACUUUUGUCAGUUGUAAAAAGACUGACGAAUAAGGACUGGGCAAGACCGGUGCCAGCCGCCGCGGUAAUACCGGCGGGUCCAUGUCGUAUCCACAUUUAUUGGGUCUAAAACAUUCGUAGCUUGUUUUGUAAGUUUCUUGUGAAAUCUGACAUCUCAAAUGUCAGGCGUGCAAGAAAUACUACAUCACUAGAGACCGGAAGAUGCAAAGAGUACGAUUGAGGUAGCGGUAAAAUGUGUUAAUCUCAAUCGGACUAACAAUGGCGAAGGCACUUUGCAAGUACGGUUCUGACAGUCAGGGAUGAAGGCUAGGGGCGCAAAACGGAUUAGAUACCCUCGUAGUC
rnacentral:rRNA from 1 species